rnacentral:rRNA from 1 species
UGGGGAAUAUUGCACAAUGGGCGAAAGCCUGAUGCAGCAACGCCGCGUGCGGGAUGACGGCCUUCGGGUUGUAAACCGCUUUCAGCAGGGACGAAGGUUUUCUGACGGUACCUGCAGAAGAAGCACCGGCUAACUACGUGCCAGCAGCCGCGGUGAUACGUAGGGUGCGAGCGUUGUCCGGAAUUAUUGGGCGUAAAGAGCUUGUAGGCGGUCCGUUGCGUCGGAAGUGAAAACUCAGGGCUUAACCCUGAGCCUGCUUUCGAUACGGGCGGACUUGAGGGAUGUAGGGGAGAACGGAAUUCCUGGUGGAGCGGUGGAAUGCGCAGAUAUCAGGAGGAAUACCAGUGGCGAAGGCGGUUCUCUGGACAUUUCCUGACGCUGAGAAGCGAAAGCGUGGGGAGCAAACAGGCUUAGAUACCCCUGGUAGUCCACGCCGUAAACGGUGGGCACUAGGUGUGGGACCCAUUCCACGGGUUCCGUGCCGUAGCUAACGCAUUAAGUGCCCCGCC